AUGAAGAUUAUUGGUCUUCCUCAACCUAAAUGUCUCUAUGACAGGUCACUUCAGGAAGCAACUGAAUCUAAAUUAGUCACUAAAGUUAUCACAUUAUUUCUCUACUCCCAGCUGCCCUCUAAAAGAUUUCUUCAUUUGAAGUUAAUGCCAGAAAGAAAGAGAAUGACAAGAGAUUUGAGGUAUGCCUUAAAUAAAGAUGGUAGAAGCAUUCCAAUUUUGGGAAAUGGGUGUCUGGAAGUAAGGAAUAGUGUAAGCAAAGGAGACAGCUAUUUCAGUUAUAUUUAGUUGUUUAAUUUAGAGCAAAACAUUAAAAUAAAUAAAACUUUCCUAAAACAAGUAAUAUAUUAUAAAUUGGUCAGAAGUUCACAUUUUAUUUCUGCAGUGGCUACAACAUAGAUUCUAUUUGCUCUGCUACUCUUGGAAACUGCCAACUAUCCUGGAAUCACGGUAUCUCCCUCAUUUUGAUUAGUGAAUGUCCUCCUAAACUGGCACUACAGUGAUUUAAUUGACCCUUUAAGUGGGUUCUCCAAUGCCAGUGUUCUAUAAAUCAGGCAGAGAGGUUUUGUCCCUGAAAGGGAGUUAGGGAUUCUUUGUCUCAGAUUAAUGUAAAAAGGGAUAAAAUUGUAUCCAUGUUUAAUGUUUCUCUUUACAUGUUUUUCUGAUACCUAUGGUGCCUACUAUUGCUUAUCUGCUAGCAAAUUCCAGCAGAUAACAAGUUAAUGAUUAAUUAGUAAACAAAUAUUAGUGGAAACUCAUAAAGAGCCAAUUACAUUGAACUGAUAUGUGAGUUUGCACGUCCAUGUUAAUAAUUUCAUCACAUGGUAAUAUUUCUUGCUAUCAUUUUUCUCUAGUCAUGUUUUGGAAUUAAAUAUAUCAGAAUUUUGUGGUGUUCUGCAAUGAGUGUAGAGCUCUCUAUAAAGAGCUCCAAGAUUUCCAGAAGCUCCUGCACCUAAAAUUUGAGAACCAGAGGUAACCUGGUAAAGGUUAACCUGGUUAAGAGGUAACUUACCUCAACUUUAAAUGGAAUGGUAAACAGGUGAAUUUGAACUUAGUGUCACAGAUGUGUUUACCUAUGCUGAGACAUAUUGCAGCAUAAACCAUGCCCUAUAUCAUCAGAUCAUGGACAAGAAAUGGGCAAAGAAGACUACAGUAGUAGAGUGGCUCUGUCCAAACAUGGAGAAUGUCAGCUAAAUGGAAACAGUUGUCUGACUUACAACAACAACAAAAAUGUUUAAACACAAAGGUGACACAUACUCAAAACCUAAUCGGAGAUUGAAUUUAUGUAGUUGUAGGAGACACUAUUGGCACCUGUCCUAUGCUCUUUAUUUUUUUUUUAAGAUUUUAUUUAUUUAUUUAUUCAUGAGAGACACAGAGAGAGAGGCAGAGACAGGCAGAGGGAAAAGCAGGCUCCGUGCAGGGAGCCCAACGUGGGACUCCAUCCGGGAAUCCAGGAUCACGCCCUGAGCCGAAGGCAGGCACUAAACCACUAAGCUACCCAGGCAUCCCUAUCCUAUGCUCUUUAAAGUAUAUUUCACAUGGUUCCUUGGGAGGUCCCCAGGAUUGUGUCCAGUUGCCUAUAGAGAUACACGUACUGGCUUUCUUCUCUUUCUGGAUUCACUUCCUCAUGGCACUUCCUGAGAUCACCUUCUGAAUAAACAUCCUGCACACAAAUCCUUGUCUCAGGCUCUGCUUUUGAAGAAUUCGGGGUAUUAGUGUACCCAGGAAAUACCUCAAUGAUCCCUGGAGUCAUACUAGGGAAAGUAAUAAUAAUAAAUAUGCGCCUGUUAAAAUACUACAGGUAUCAUUAUUGAGAGCUUACUGUGUGCAAGCCAUUGUACUGAAAGUUCUUCCUACAGUAUCUUAUUCAUUCCUCACAAAACUCUUAUGAAUUACAUAUUAUUCAUAUUAUUUUUAAGAUAAUAAACUAAAGCUUCAGAGUGUUAGAUCACUUAUUCAAGGUUGUUAGUAAAUGACAAGUCCGAGAUUCAAACCCAAAUCCUUUGUGUUUUUUCUAUAAACUCAGCAAAAGUAUGGUUUGGUCAUUCAUAUUUUGAUUUCAAUCAUUUUAACGAAACUGCAAACCCUAGGAAGCAUCUUCUAAAAGAUACAUAACAAGAGAAAUAAAGAACCCUAUAUGAUUGUGUCCAUCCUCUAGAUGAGCAGUUCUCAAAGUGCAUCUUUUUUAUCUCAAAGGAGAAAGAAGCGAAACAGUUAUGCAAUAUUCUUUUAAACACCAAAUUAAAAUAAAAUAAGUAAACAUUUUAUUUUUACCCCAGUCAUCUCAAUUCUUUGCUUUGGAUCAUAAAAAUUCGUCAUUAAAGAAUCUGGUUUAUGAAGUAUGCAAGUUCUCAACCAAGUAGUGCUCUGGAAUCCAAGACACUUAAUUGACUCAGUCCUUGGGCUCCUCAAGCCCCUGGUGCUCUGCUGAUUGAUCUCACCUGCAGACCCAGGACUGACUCGGAGGAGUCAAGAAACACAAGCUGUGUCAGCCCUCCUUAUUUGGAGCAGGAUCCCCUAACUUUCUUGGCAGCCCUGCUGCCUUAGUAUUCUCAGUCAGAAGAAGGGGGAAUCCUGUUAUCUCUAGUCUUGCUAAAUGUCUCUAGAAAUCCCUGAAGUUUUUCUUCCUUUUCCUUAUUUCACGAAUGAGACAGGAACACCCUUUUGUCAGAAGCGAUACACAAGCAUACAGAAUAAAGUGUGACAAGGCACCCACACCAUUCCACUCUAGAAUUAUGGUUUAGUGUGUAUCAUUCCAGUCCUUUUCCCAUGCAAGAAACCUUUGUGUCUUGGUGGCAGGAUAUCAUGGAGCCCCCAGGAUUUACCAGGUUCCAGAGCAUGGAAUUAUCUCCCAUGUGUUUGGACGAAAUGGAGCCUGUGGCAAAAGAGAAAGUGAGUUACUAAUUGGAUUUAUGGCCAUUACUCCCUGAGCAGCCCUCUGCCCUCGGUAAUCUCCAUAGCAUUUCAGAUAGAAUCUCUCUCUGCAAAAGAUCCAGAAGACUCGGUAAGGAGAAAGCUGGCACAUCUCCUGCUCACCCAAUAAAAAGUCAGAUUGUUAUUAAACAGUCCCCGAGGCUACUGUGAUUUACAUUCAUUUUAAUGGUUCUCUUUGUAAAGUAGUCCCUUUAAUGGGGGAUGCCCUCCAGUUCCUAUUGGUUGCAUGUAAAAUAAAUAUUACACCAUCUCCAGCUGUCCAGCUCUCCUUUCAUGCUUUGACCUGCAACAGAAAGUACAGAGACUUGACAUUUCCCCCUGAAAAGCUCUCACAUGUUCAGGGAUGCUCACCACCAUUAUUUGUGCAGUGGCGAGGUAGAGGUGGAGGUGGUCCAGGUACCCAUCAUUGGGGGAAUGCAGAUGUACACCGUGGAAUACCACACAGCACUCAGAAGCCGCGAACUAGGUGGACCUAAAGCCACGUACAGAGAAAUUAAAAUUUAAAAAAAAUCUUUAAACAAAAAAUAGGAAAUAGAAUAAAAUGUUUCGCACAAUGCUAUGUAUACAAUCUAACACACAUUUCUAUGUAAAAUGAUGCUACACAUAUAUUUUCAAGGACGCAUACCCAAGGACACGUACCAAACAUAGGAGUGGUGGUGCCUCCAGGGGAGAAAACAAUGGGGAUGAGAGAAAAAGAGAAAAAUUAAAAACUAAAAUAGACACAGCUCUUACAAGGAAUGAUGAAUUGGCUGGAUGUUAAAACUUAACGCUUUGUUCCUGAGAGGUAGUAAACAAAUAAAUAAUGAAUGAAAGAAACCACAAGGUAACCUGUCUUUUAUUUGGCUUUAAAUUAAAUCUCACCACCAGCAAGCAUUUCUAGACCUCCUGUAAGCAUGUGACAUGAUGCAAGUUCUGCUCUGUGACCAUGGACAAGCCUCUGUGCCUCUCUGGACCUCAGUUUCUUCUUUGAUAAAAAUAACAAAAAGGAAUGAAAAGGGGAAAUGAGUGCUAGUACUACCUAGGUUACAAUGUUGUAUGGUUUGUAAGAUUGAAACAAGGUAAUACCUGAGGCCAAGCACACAUGGGCGCUGGGUGAGUGCCAGUCACUUUCCUCUGAGGAGAAUGAGAGCACAG
rnacentral:lncRNA from 1 species